GAGAUUUCGACGGCAGUGAUUAGAGUUUGAUCCUGGCUCAGGAUAAACGCUGGCGGCGCACAUAAGACAUGCAAGUCGAACGGACUUAAUUCGUUAGUUUACUAAUGGAAGCGGUUAGUGGCGGACUGGUGAGUAACGCGUAAGCAACCUGCCUAUUAGUAGGGAAUAACAGUGAGAAAUCAUUGCUAAUACCGUAUAAGCUGGAAACAUCGCAUGAUGUAGUCAGAAAAGGAGCAAUUCGCUAAUAGAUGGGCUUGCGUCUGAUUAGUUAGUUGGUGGGGUAACGGCCUACCAAGACGAUGAUCAGUAGCCGGACUGAGAGGUUAAACGGCCACAUUGGGACUGAGAUACGGCCCAGACUCCUACGGGAGGCAGCAGUCGGGAAUAUUGCGCAAUGGAGGAAACUCUGACGCAGUGACGCCGCGUGCAGGAAGAAGGUUUUCGGAUUGUAAACUGCUUUAGACAGGGACGAAACAAAUGACGGUACCUGUAGAAUAAGCUCCGGCUAACUACGUGCCAGCAGCCGCGGUAAUACGUAGGGAGCAAGCGUUAUCCGGAUUUAUUGGGUGUAAAGGGUGCGUAGACGGAUAAACAAGUUAGUUGUGAAAUACCUCGGCUUAACUGAGGAACUGCAACUAAAACUAUAUAUCUUGAGUACUGGAGGGGAAAGCGGAAUUCCUAGUGUAGCGGUGAAAUGCGUAGAUAUUAGGAAGAACACCGGUGGCGAAGGCGGCUUUCUGGACAGCAACUGACGUUGAGGCACGAAAGUGUGGGGAGCAAACAGGAUUAGAUACCCUGGUAGUCCACACCGUAAACGAUGGAUACUAGGUGUUGGCUGUGAUGAGCAGUCAGUGCCGUCGCAAACGCAGUAAGUAUCCCACCUGGGGAGUACGACCGCAAGGUUGAAACUCAAAGGAAUUGACGGGGCCCGCACAAGCAGUGGAGUAUGUGGUUUAAUUCGACGCAACGCGAAGAACCUUACCAAGGCUUGACAUAUACAGGAAUAUUAUAGAAAUAUAUAGCUCUUCGGAGCCUGUAUACAGGUGGUGCAUGGUGUCGUCAGCUCGUGUCGUGAGAUGUUAGGUUAGUCUGCACGAGCGCAACCCCUAUUUCCAGUUGCCAGCACGUAUGGUGGGACUCUGGAAAGACUGCCCGUAUAAUCGAGAGGUGGGAUGACGUCAAAUCAUCAUGCUUAUGUCUGGUAACCACGUACUCACAUGCCGUUCAAAGGAAGAGCACACCCGUGUGUAUGUGUGGGGC
rnacentral:rRNA from 1 species